CUUGACUUCCAUAAGAGGUCCAGCCUGCCCAGUGAUACUAUUAAACGGCCGCGGUACCCUGACCGUGCGAAGGUAGCAUAAUAACUUGUUCUUUAAAUGGGGACUAGCAUGAACGGCAUCACGAGGGUCUCACUGUCUCCUUUUUCUAAUCAGUGAAACUGAUCUCCCCGUGAAGAAGCGGGGAUAAAAAUAUAAGACGAGAAGACCCCAUGGAGCUUUAAACCCAAUAGACACCUCUGACUAAUCUAACCCAAAACACUUCUUAAGUUCUGUCUAUUGGUUUUAGGUUGGGGUGACCACGGAGUACAAUAAAUCCUCCAUGACGUACGGGACUUCCCUCUUAUCCUUGAACCACAUUUCUAAGAAUCAACAAAUUGACGUUUGAUGAUCCAAAAUUUUGAUCAACGUACCA
rnacentral:rRNA from 1 species